CUGAGGGUGCAGGGUUGGGGGGGCUGCAGGGAAGGAGCCGGGGGCUAGCCUCCCCAGCUGAGAGCUCAAGAGCCGGGCAAGAUGGUCCCAUGGGCCGGAU